AUGAGGGUUCCUGCUUAUCUCCUGGUGUUGCUGCUGCUCUGGAUUUCAGGUUCUAGAUGUGACAUCCAGAUGACCCAGUCUCUAUCUCAGACUGUAUCACUAGGAGACACAGUCACCAUCAGGUGUCAAGCCAGUCAGAGCAUUGGCAGUGUGUUAAGCUGGAAUCAGCAAAAACCAGGGAAAUCUCCUAAGCUCCUGAUCUAUGAUGCAUCUAGUUUGGAAGAUGGGGUCCCAUCAAGGUUCAGUGGCAGUGGGUAUGGGAGAGAUUUUACCCUCACCAUCAGCAGCGUGGAGCCAGAAGGUAUUGGAACUUACUAUUCCCAACAGAACUACGAUUACACCUACAGUGGAACAAGUUAUAACUAA